ACUGUUUGUGACAUUUUAAAUUAUUAAACGGUUUUAAAAUGUAGUUUGAAGGGUUUGGAAUUUCGGAUUCAAUGAUUCCAUCCACAGUUUUAGUCAUCGACUGUUUGUAUGGUUUAGCUUAUUUGUCAUGGAAAAAUAGACUUAACGAUAGAUUGGAUUUUAGCCUCAUGCAGAGACUUUUGAGAAAUGGAAUUAUCUGUUGACAAUAAUUUUCCACUCACGCCAUUCAUACCUUUUGUUCUAUUUCUUCCACGAAGACAAGCACUGAUUGAAGAUUUCCAACUGUAUUCGCUACCCAAAAUGGAAACUGCUUGCUCGAGAAACACAACGCACAAUUAAAGACCGCGCUGGAACCAAUAGGUGUAAACUAUUCGGAAUUAUUUUGCCAACAGCAGCAAAGAACGGUUGUCAAUGAAAUUCCGGUUCGGACACGAAGACCGAUUUUAAAAAUUGAGUUUUACGAUUAAAAUUUUUGUUUAUA